UACGUAGGGGGCAAGCGUUGUCCGGAUUUAUUGGGCGUAAAGAGCGUGUAGGCGGUUAGGUAGGUCCGUUGUGAAAACUCGAGGCUCAACCUCGAGACGCCGAUGGAAACCAUCUGACUAGAGUCCGGAAGAGGAGAGUGGAAUUCCUGGUGUAGCGGUGAAAUGCGCAGAUAUCAGGAAGAACACCAGUGGCGCAGGCGACGCUCUGGGCCGACACUGACGCUGAGACACGAAAGCGUGGGGAGCAAACAGG
rnacentral:rRNA from 1 species